AACGAACGCUGGCGGCAUGCCUAACACAUGCAAGUCGAACGAGACCUUCGGGUCUAGUGGCGCACGGGUGCGUAACGCGUGGGAACCUGCCCUUAGGUUCGGAAUAACUCCCCGAAAGGGGUGCUAAUACCGGAUAAUGUCUUCGGACCAAAGAUUUAUCGCCUUUGGAUGGGCCCGCGUUGGAUUAGCUAGUUGGUAGGGUAAAAGCCUACCAAGGCGACGAUCCAUAGCUGGUCUGAGAGGAUGAUCAGCCACACUGGGACUGAGACACGGCCCAGACUCCUACGGGAAGCAGCAGUGGGGAAUAUUGGACAAUGGGGGAAAGCCUGAUCAAGCAAUGCCGCGUGAGUGAUGAAGGCCUUAGGGUUGUAAAGCUCUUUUACCCGGGAUGAGAAUGACAGUACCGGGAGAAUAAGCUCCGGCUAACUCCGUG
rnacentral:rRNA from 1 species